UUUGUUGGUUGAGAUUAUGUUGUUAAAUUAUUUGCUAAAUAGUUGUUAUACAGUAAAAUAUAUUGAGAAACAAUUAAAUUAAAUGUUAAAUAAAGUAUUUUUAUAACAAAAUAGUAUUUUAUUACUUAUUAUUAAAAUAAAAGUUUCUUUUUAGAAAAAAACAAAAAAAACAAAAAAUUACUUUCUUCAAUACCCAGACUCGUCGUCACAGGACGCAAAGCCAGCAUUCAGGAGCGCAGAGCAAAGAGGAAGACGUUGCCGUCAGUGAAAUGGCCAAACUCUAUUCGUUUGAAGAGGUUUCAAGCCACAAAUGCAGGGAUAAUUGCUGGCUUUUAAUCUCUGGCAAGGUCAGUUUUUGCUCAUCGCUUUUUUUAUUGAUUUUUUCAAUUGUUAACUGUGUCGAUCUUUGAGCUGCUUUAAGUUCUAAGGGUUUACUUGCGGUAAGAUUGAGCUUUUUCGUAUUGCCCUCAACGGAGCUCCGCCAUUUUUCUUCUUUUAAAAUAACCUGAAAUUAACAAAAGUCUUGUGAUAGAAUUUUUGCGGGUUUCAAAAUCAAGGAGAUAAUAAUGUUAAAAAUUGGUCAAACUACUGUACUAUAUGUUGAUUGAGCUGAUGAACUUAGUCAAUUAUUUGCGAAGCUUAAUGUUGAGAUGUUUUUCUUUUUUGGACAAAAGAAAAGAUUGGGUAUAAAGCGGAGUGUUGUUGAAUGGUCUAUAGCUUGCUAACAAGUUGUGGUUUAUCGAAAUCGAGCUUCCGGAUUUAGUGGGUAUGGAUUCCAUGAUGUAACCUUUUGAGCAGAUAAUCUGCAAGGACAAUCAGAAACAUUGUUUACCAAAUCCCAGUCAACAUAUUUUCUUAACGUCUGUGUAACCCAAGCCUUAGAUAUAGUACUAACCUACCAAAAGGAUCGUAAGUACUAGUGUUGCAUGGCUUUGACAUUAAUAUGAUAUGCUAUGGAUUUUAGACAGCUUUGAUUUGCAUCAUGGAGGAAAUAGUUGUGGCUCUUGAGAAAAGGGAAGUAGGAGGAUUUUCGAUUUGGAAAA